GGCGAACGCUGGCGGCAGGCUUAACACAUGCAAGUCGAGCGGGCGUAGCAAUACGUCAGCGGCAGACGGGUGAGUAACGCGUGGGAACAUACCUUUUGGUUCGGAACAACCCAGGGAAACUUGGGCUAAUACCGGAUAAGCCCUUACGGGGAAAGAUUUAUCGCCGAAAGAUUGGCCCGCGUCUGAUUAGCUAGUUGGUGAGGUAACGGCUCACCAAGGCGACGAUCAGUAGCUGGUCUGAGAGGAUGAUCAGCCACAUUGGGACUGAGACACGGCCCAAACUCCUACGGGAGGCAGCAGUGGGGAAUAUUGGACAAUGGGCGCAAGCCUGAUCCAGCCAUGCCGCGUGAGUGAUGAAGGCCCUAGGGUUGUAAAGCUCUUUUGUGCGGGAAGAUAAUGACGGUACCGCAAGAAUAAGCCCCGGCUAACUUCGUGCCAGCAGCCGCGGUAAUACGAAGGGGGCUAGCGUUGCUCGGAAUCACUGGGCGUAAAGGGUGCGUAGGCGGGUCUUUAAGUCAGGGGUGAAAUCCUGGAGCUCAACUCCAGAACUGCCUUUGAUACUGAGGAUCUUGAGUUCGGGAGAGGUGAGUGGAACUGCGAGUGUAGAGGUGAAAUUCGUAGAUAUUCGCAAGAACACCAGUGGCGAAGGCGGCUCACUGGCCCGAUACUGACGCUGAGGCGCGAAAGCGUGGGGAGCAAACGGGAUUAGAUACCCCGGUAGUCCACGCUGUAAACGAUGACGACUA
rnacentral:rRNA from 1 species